GAGCAGGCAACGCAGACCGUGAGACGGGGUACAACAGCAAGGCCUCAUUUCGUUACACUUAGCUCACUGCUGAUCAACCUUGUCCUGGAAGAGCAGGAGAAGAGAACCCUGAAGAUGGACAGUCGAAGCAUUGUCACCCUCAUCCCCAUAGAAGAGGACGCUCUAGAGUUGGCAUGGCACCAGGGUGGUUGCUUCAACAUAGACAGUGGGGCUAAAGUGCUGUCACGAAAGUUUACCUCAUCACUAGCCAUGAGGGAAGUCUAAGUUAGAAUGAGGAAUGCUGUUCAUGUGUAUUCCAAUGUGGCAAAAUUUCAUUGGUCAGGACAAGGGCUAAGUGGCAAGGAGAGGUGAGGGACAUUCAUUUCAGUGAAAUGUGGCCAUUUAUUUGGUUUGCAGGCUACAAUGUUCGGCAUGGACUUGUUG